rnacentral:lncRNA from 1 species
CCGCGACAGUCCAGAAAACUGCGCGUGCCGCGUCUUUGCGCCAUUUCUGUCCCGUCAGCUGCGCGCUGUUUGCCGGGGACGAGACGUCAGCGGGGACGCGGCAGGGACCCGAACAAGGAGCAGACGUAAGGCAGACAGACCUAAAAUGAAAAGACGGCCACACGUCUUCAAGCAGAAAACUCGAAAGAUAAAGGGGAAUCCCUGAGAGGGGAUCUCUCUCUCUCUCUCUCUCUCUCUCUCUCUCAGCACUCUUCGGUUCUGUUUGCU